rnacentral:rRNA from 1 species
UAGAGUUUGAUCCUGGCUCAGAACGAACGCUGGCGGCGUGCUUAACACAUGCAAGUCGAGUGCGCGGUUGUAGCAAUACAACUGGCGCACGGCGCACGGGUGCGUAACACGUGGGCAAUCUGCCCUUCGAUGGGGAAUAACUCCGGGAAACCGAAGCUAAUUCCGCAUAACAUUCCUUGGACCUCGGUUCGAGGACUCAAAGCCGUAAGGCGUCGAAGGAGGAGCCCGCGCACGAUUAGCUAGUUGGUAGGGUAACGGCCUACCAAGGCUUUGAUCGUUAGCUGGUCUGAGAGGAUGGCCAGCCACACUGGAACUGAGACACGGUCCAGACUCCUACGGGAGGCAGCAGUGGGGAAUCUUGCACAAUGGGCGAAAGCCUGAUGCAGCGACGCCGCGUGGGGGAUGAAGCAUUUCGGUGUGUAAACCCCUUUCGACCCGGACGAAUGCCUCGCAAGAGGAGUGACGGUACGGGUAUAAGAAGCCCCGGCUAACUACGUGCCAGCAGCCGCGGUAAGACGUAGGGGGCCAGCGUUGUUCGGAAUUACUGGGUGUAAAGGGUUCGUAGGCGGUGUGGCAAGUUGGGAGUGAAAUCUCUGGGCUCAACCCAGAGGCUGCUUCCAAAACUGCUGUGCUUGAGUGUGGGAGAGGCGCGUGGAAUUGCAGGUGUAGCGGUGAAAUGCGUAGAUAUCUGCAGGAACACCCGUGGCGAAUCGGCGCGCUGGACCACACUGACGCUGAGGACGAAGCUAGGGGAGCAACAGGAUAGAUACCUGGUAGUCUAGCCUAAUGAUCAGACUUGGGGGUGCCGCACGUUCGUGCGUCGU